CCUGCCACUAGAGGCAUUACAGAUGUGACUGCUGUGUCACAUGUGUGUCAUUAGGUGGCAGAUAGAAGAGAAUCUUGUCUAAGUGCAGUGCUCUGUGCUCACUGGGUGAUUGAUAGCCUGACAGU
ensembl:snoRNA